UACGUAGGGGGCAAGCGUUGUCCGGAAUCAUUGGGCGUAAAGAGCGUGUAGGCGGCCCGAUAAGUCCGCCGUGAAAGUCCAGGGCUCAACCCUGGAAUGCCGGUGGAAACUGUCGGGCUGGAGUCCGGAAGAGGCGAGUGGAAUUCCUGGUGUAGCGGUGAAAUGCGCAGAUAUCAGGAGGAACACCAAUGGCGAAGGCAGCUCGCUGGGACGGUACUGACGCUGGAGACGCGAAAGCGUGGGGAGCAAACAGG
rnacentral:rRNA from 1 species